CGGCCGGCCGGCGGCUGUUUAUGCAAAGCUGGUCCCGCCCUGAUCCCAGACACUGGCAGGCCGGCGCGCGGGUGCGCGAGUGCGUCAGUGAAAAAUUGCCAACGGUUGUGAACCAUUCUAGCAACAAUGAAGCCCAGCGAUCCAUUUACUAUGUCCUUCAGGCAACGUGUCCCGGGUGUCUCAUGGCCUUCCUCUGUGCUGUGUGUCCCACACAUGUUCCGUCAGGCAGCGGCAUCUCUGUCCUCCGUGGCCCACACACAUACCUCUGCCUGCUCCAAAGUUAUUCUCAAGUAGCCCUUCCCACCCCCACCCCUGAAAGCUGCCCCCCAGUAACCCACGCCAGAACUGAUUCCCUUGAAGAAGCUUUCUGGGAAGACUUCUGCUUCUCUUCACCAACCUUGAUGAAUCCCGGAGGCAAGAAACAGCUCUGUCUCUGCACCUGCCUUAGUCGUGGGCCUUGGACAGCCGCUCACAGGCCCUCUCCAGGCCCCAGGUUCCUCAGCUCAUCACCGGGACAGGAACACUGAUGUCCUCUGGAAGUGACCACAGCAAGGCUGCAGAGCACCCUCUGGGUGCCCACUGGCCCCUGCUGACAAACAGCCCCAGGCUCACGCACCAGCACCACCGCUCCCUGGAGGCACCUCCCUUCACCCCUUUCUGGAGGCAGCAAUCACAGCCUGAGGACCUCAGAGUUACUGACCCCAGCAAAGAGAGAAAUCCCAACAAAGCUGGACCCUCAUCUGGGCUUGGCCAUUACUAGCUGGGGUCUCUAGGUGUGGCCCCUUGCUUGGUCCUGCACAGGACUGCUCUGCUGCCUUGCUGUGGUCACUUCCAGAGGACAUCAGUGUUCCCGCCAGUGCCGUCAUGGUCUGUACUCGACUUACUUCCUCUCUAAAGUAGAUUCAGUGCACGCAGGGCCUCUCUGAGGCCCUCACCGUGCCUUGUGUGCGUGGGUCGGUUUUUGGCAAGUGGACAGCAAUUAACCUUGUCUGCAGCCCAGGGGAAUGGUCACAACCUGAGUCCCAACUGGGUGCCCACCUGUGCUAUCAGCUGGACAAAUAGCUUCAGCGUUGCUUCUCUGAGUGGCUGCUCCUUGUUAACCCGGCGGAGCCCGAGCUGGCCACGUCCCCUGACCUCUGGAGAGGCCUGGCUUGCUGGAGCUCCCACACAGGUGCGUCCCCAGAGAAGAUGGCCACCAUCUUCCUGCGGGACUUGACGAGUCUCUUCCACUGGGCUUCAGAUGCCCCGUGUGCACAGGAACCCAGAGCUUGGGAGGGUCCCCCUGCUUCUCUGCUGUAACGCUGAUGGGGCACCAUGCGUCAGGGCUUCUCACUCACAGGCUGUUACUAAGAACGCGAUCUCGGGUACGUCCGGUGGCACAUCUGUGCCUCGGCUGCCUCAUUUGGGAAAUGGAGACACAAAUUUACUAAUUUCAAUAAAGCCAGGCAGGAAGGAGGCACUAGGUGGGAGCCGAGACCUACAUCAUCUCCUCCACCACCGCCACCGCAUCCCUGCAAAACCCCACCGCUGUGAGGCUGUUUGCUGAUGUGGCUGGUGAGGACCAUUGCUAGAACAGCGUAGACACCCAUCCGUGUCCAUGUUCUCACCCAGGCAAGUUUCUGAGUCACCCCAGCUUCCACCCUAGCUCCCUAAAAUGAGGACGUUGGCCUGAUAGUGGGGGUAAAGGGUGUAGCCAACGCCAAAGACUAGAUCCUUUCCUCGUCUUUCUAACUUUCCAGCCAAAUUCUCAAACAUUGGUUCCCAGGGCAGAUUUGUCUCUCUCUUUUCUUUUCUCAGAAGGUCCUCAGGUGUAGCCCCCCCGCCCUUAGCUAAAGAAAGGCCACCACACUGAUCUGGAAAAAAAAAAUGGGUGGGAGCAGUGCAAAGGGAGAUAGAAACCCAGGCUAGAGAUCGCUUGUGGGGGAAAGGGGGUUUCAGUGUGCAGUUUUGUGGCUCUGGAAAGACAUGAGCCUGGAGCGCGGCCCUGGGUACUUGUGUGUACCUCUGUGAGUGUGAGCGCGUGUUUGCGUCGCCGUGGCUGUGUAUGACUGUGUGUGCGCAGGUCUGGAUGUGUGUUUGUGUGUCACAUAUCUGCCUAGGCAGCACCCGACAUACUGUGCACCCGUCAGUGUCUGAGGCCUGAGUGAUCCUGGCACGUGUCAGCUCUGGAGAGAAGCUGUGUAGUUAGGCCUGUGCUAGCUGCUCUUUUGGCUGCUGCUCUGUCUGCACCUGCUUGUGCCUGCUGGUGGUGGGUGAGACACGGGGGGCAUAUCGGUGAUGGGGGAGGGGUGUUGUUGGCGUGUGUCCACACACCCAGGUGGGGUGGUGUUGCAGUGUGUGCACCUGCGUGGCUGAGUGGGAGGAAGGGGGUGCUUGGAAGCAUCGGUGAGCCUGUCUGCAAGGCAGGGCUGGAGGCCGGCACCCGGGACGUGGCUGCGGGCGGGUGUGUGCAGGCACCGUGCUGUACACACGUACUGUGCAUCGUGCGUAUGUGUUUGUGUGUGUGUGCUGUGUGAGCGGACAGCACAUAUGCUUUCGUGUGUGCUGUGUGCAGGGCCUUGUUUAUCCAUUUCUGAGUCAGGAAAUGUCUGCGGUCGUACAAUUGGUUAGUUUCCCUGUCACUACCUCAAGGAGUAUAUUCACAUGCCAAACAGCAUCAACAUCCUCACUGCCUGGUUAUAUUUGCUUCCUUUGUGGGGAAAAAAGGCCAGUUUGCAAGAUCAACUGAACAGCCUCAGGCCCUGUGCCGGGGGCCUGGAGGGACCCCCCCCCCAACAACUCUGCUCAGAGGGAGGGCCCUGUUCUGCUCCAUUCCCCUGGCAUUCCCGGGCACCUCCCAGCAGGGCCGGACCUCUGCUCCCACCAGGUGAGCCACCAGCAGCAGGAACAGAAAGGAGGAGGGAUGAGAUCGGAGGUGACAGUAAGGGCCACACGGGUGGGGACUUGGGACAAGGAUGUAUUUCUGAGGUCACAGCUGCCCCUUGUCCCUGCCAAACGGAGGGACAGAACCCCCACCCGUGAGCCCUGGCACUCUGGGCUAUGGAAAGUCAGCCCUCUUGUCUCUAGAUAGAAGCAACACUGAUCGUCUCACCCACUGUCCCCCAUGGCGUCAGACUGAGCCACUCACACCGGCGGAGACCCUAUCCUUCCUCCACUCUCUUUCCUAGCCUCUUCCGGCCUCCUUCAACCCCCUUUUCCUGAACAAGCCCCCAGGAAAUCACUUUCACCAGAAGCCCCUCCCUGGCUCUGCUUCCCGGGAACCUAACCAAAGACACCCUGAGGGUGCUCAGACACAUGGUAACUCCUGGUGUGGGGGGUGAGCUAGACGUCACCAUCCCACCUUGGAGGUUCACCAAGGGAAAAAUGGAAUAAUGAAGGGUGAAAUGCUUGGAGCCUGCUGUCCAUGUGUCCUCCAAGACACCAGCCAGCUGGGCGUCAUCUCAGCUUCUUGGGUGAAAGGGAAAAGCUCAUCUGAGACCCUCAACUCAGGCUUGAAGUCUAGACAAAUGCUACCCCUGACCGAGGCAAAUGCCUGCUUGUGUUUGAAUGCCCCUGACUGAUGGAGGGCUCAUUCCCUGCCAAGGAGCAUCUUCUGCCUUUAGACAGGGCAAUGAUUCAGCUCCUUUUAGCCA